UACGAAGGGGGCUAGCGUUGUUCGGAUUUACUGGGCGUAAAGAGCGCGCAGGCGGUCGUUCAAGUCGAGUGUGAAAGCCCCCGGCUCAACUGGGGAGGGUCAUUCGAUACUGAUCGACUCGAAGGCAGGAGAGGGUAGUGGAAUUCCCGGUGUAGUGGUGAAAUGCGUAGAUAUCGGGAGGAACACCAGUGGCGAAGGCGACUACCUGGCCUGUUCUUGACGCUGAGGCGCGAAAGCUAGGGGAGCAAACGGG
rnacentral:rRNA from 1 species